GUUGAUUUUUUAUGAUAUUAUCGGAGUGAAAAGUGAACAAAUGUGAAAAGAGAAAAACCAAUAAGUGAAUCGGAUUGUGGAAAACGCGAGAAUUGUGCCCAUUGAAACAAACCAUUCCGGCAGUGUUCAGGUGUUCGAAGUUUUCAGGCUAAACCAGCAGCACCCUUGAAAAAACAACAAACACGAAUUGCUGAGUUCUUCCGGAUCGAAGCAGCGGUUGCCGGCCCCCCAUCAGCAACAGUAUAGGACGAGCAGGAUUCGGGUUCCACCGUGGUAGCCACCAACGCAUUGACAGAUCGUAUGCACUCGUGUGCCAACCGUCAGCAUCCACAAAAACCAUCUCAACUGCCAGGAUAUGGGGAGAUAUCCUGCGAGAUACAAAAGAACGGUAGCUACGACGACAGAUCAACGAAGAGACGACGACGGUGACGGUGAGCUUCUGUUGGAAAACCUUCCGAGGUGUAAAGCAAACAAACGUUUAGUCUGCUGGCGGAACGAUUUACGUGCAAAGACGUAGACAACGGAAGAACCUAAAAAUAUCGUCAUUAUGUGUGUGCACAUGGUCAUAAAUGUUUAA